rnacentral:RNase_P_RNA from 1 species
CAAAGCAGCCUUAACGAUCGCUGGAUAUUCAUGUCCAGAGGAAAGUCCGAACACCGCAGGGCAGGGUGCUUCAUAACGUGAAGUCGCGGUAACGUGAAGGAAAGUGCAACAGAGAGCAGACCGCCUUUGUCGAUUUUUUUUAUGACAACGGUAAGGGUGAAACGGUGCGGUAAGAGCGCACCAGUUCUUCGGGUGACCGGAGAAGCUAUGUAAACCCCACCCGGUGCAAGACCAAAUAGGGAAGUGAUCGAGGGCUGUCCGCCCGAGCUUCCGGGUAGGUCGCAUGAGAUGUACGGGCAACCGGCAUCCUUAGAUGAAUGAUCGUUGCCCGGUUUCGGAGUAAUCCGGAUCGGGAACAGAAUUCGGCUUACGGGCUGCUUUGGCCG